rnacentral:rRNA from 1 species
UACGUAGGGGGCAAGCGUUGUCCGGAUUUAUUGGGCGUAAAGAGCGUGUAGGCGGCCAGACAGGUCUGCUGUGAAAACUCGAGGCUCAACCUCGAGAUGGCGGCGGAAACCUUCUGGCUAGAGUCCGGAAGAGGAGAGUGGAAUUCCUGGUGUAGCGGUGAAAUGCGCAGAUAUCAGGAAGAACACCUAUGGCGAAGGCAGCUCUCUGGGACGGUACUGACGCUGAGACGCGAAAGCGUGGGGAGCGAACAGG